GGAAAUCUCACCAGGCCCGGACACUGGAAGGAUUGACAGAUUGAUAGCUCUUUCUUGAUUCGGUGGGUGGUGGUGCAUGGCCGUUCUUAGUUGGUUGAGUGAUUUGUCUGGUUAAUUCCGUUAACGAACGAGACCUUAACCUGCUAAAUAGUGACGCGGUUCAUCGAACCGUGGGCCACUUCUUAGAGGGACUAUCGGAUUCAAACCGAUGGAAGUGUGAGGCAAUAA
rnacentral:rRNA from 1 species